rnacentral:lncRNA from 1 species
AUUUUAAAUUUUAAAUUUUAAAUUGAAAUUUAAAUUUUAAAUUAUAAAUUUUAAAUUUAAAAAUAAAUUUAAAAUUCGAAGUUUAAAAAUAAUUUAAAAUUUAAAGUUUAAAAUUUGAAAUUUGAACUAUUAGAUUUGAGAUUUGAAAUUUCAAAUUUGAACUAUUAGAUUUGAGAUUUGAAAUUUCAAAUUUGAAAUUUAAAUUUUAAAUUUUAAAAUUUAAAAGUUAAAAUUAAAAUUAAAGUUUGAAAUUUAAAAUUUAAAAUUUAAAAUUAUAUGAAAUUUAUUUAAAAUAAAAAAUUUAAAAUUUUAAAUUAAAAAAUAAAUUUAAAUUUAAAGUUUAAAAUUUGAAAUUUGAACUAUGAUUUUGAGAUUUGAAAUUUGAAAUUUAAAUUUAAAUUUGAAAUUUUGAAAUUUUGAAAUUUGAAAUUUUAAAUUUUAAAUUUAAAAUGAAAGUUUGAAAUUUAAAAUUUAAAAUUUGAAAUUUAAAAUUUUAAAUUUUAAAUUUCAAAAUUUAAAAUUUAAAAUUUAAAAUUUAAAAUUUUAAUUGUAUGUUGAAAUUUAAAAUCUAUGUUGAAAUUUAAAAUUUUAUGUUGAAAUUUAUAAGUUAGAACUUGAUGCAAUUUUUCGAAUACGGGAGCUCAAAAAUAAUGGAAUUUUUCUUCCUUUGGUUAGAGUGGAUUAUACUUUUACCCCAUUUUUUGGAGUAUAGUUUAACUAUACUUCAAAAAUUACGUUACUUUUUUUUUUUCUUCCAAAUGCUUCAUAGGAUAUUUUUCCUACCGUCUUAAACUAUGCUACGUUUUCAGAAUUCUUCGGUGGUACCGCAAAAAAUAUAUCGUAACUGACUCAUCGCAAUAUGUGGAACGCAAUAUUACGUAUGAAAAUAAAUAAUAUAUUUUUUUAACGUACUUUCUCACUGUACGUAACGCAAUCUUUCCGUAAUUCUAAACGAAACGAAGCCUAAAACUCGUACCUAACUAA